UUCUUCAGGGCAGGGUGUAAUUCCCGAUCGGCGGUAAAGUCCGCGAGCGUGCAAACGCAGGAGCAAAUGCUCAGGAUUUGGUGCAAUUCCAAAACCGACAGUAAUAGUCUGGAUGAAAGAAGA
rnacentral:ncRNA from 1 species